rnacentral:rRNA from 1 species
GAUGAACGCUGGCGGCGUGCCUAAUACAUGCAAGUCGAGCGAACAGACGAGGAGCUUGCUCCUCUGACGUUAGCGGCGGACGGGUGAGUAACACGUGGAUAACCUACCUAUAAGACUGGGAUAACUUCGGGAAACCGGAGCUAAUACCGGAUAAUAUAUUGAACCGCAUGGUUCAAUAGUGAAAGACGGUUUUGCUGUCACUUAUAGAUGGAUCCGCGCCGCAUUAGCUAGUUGGUAAGGUAACGGCUUACCAAGGCAACGAUGCGUAGCCGACCUGAGAGGGUGAUCGGCCACACUGGAACUGAGACACGGUCCAGACUCCUACGGGAGGCAGCAGUAGGGAAUCUUCCGCAAUGGGCGAAAGCCUGAAGGAGCAACGCCGCGUGAGUGAUGAAGGUCUUCGGAUCGUAAAACUCUGUUAUUAGGGAAGAACAAAUGUGUAAGUAACUAUGCACGUCUUGACGGUACCUAAUCAGAAAGCCACGGCUAACUACGUG